rnacentral:lncRNA from 1 species
GGAUGGGGGAGAGAAAAUCAGGCGCAGACUCGAUGAGUUGGAGAAAGCAGCCCCUAACUCGGAGUCCUUUACGCAUAUGUUUGUCUGUCCCACUGUCUCUAACCAGGGGCCUUCCUUGCACCUCGGAGCAAAGCAGCUCGGAUAGCGCCACACGUCUGCGCGCUGCGUGGGAAGGGCAGGGCUGACAGCACUUCCUCCCCGGGGCAGCGACCUGGAGCCCGGGUGCGGCAGUCUGCACCGCGCGUCGCUUUCCCGGCCGGAGUCUCGCCGCCUUCCCGCGCCCCGCAGCGCCCCGCAGAGCAGUCGAGAUGGGUGAGUCAAGUGAAGACAUAGACCAAAUGUUCAGCACUUUGCUGGGAGAGAUGGAUCUUCUGACUCAGAGUUUAGGAGUUGACACUCUCCCUCCUCCUGACCCUAAUCCACCCAGAGCUGAAUUUAACUACAGUGUGGGGUUUAAAGAUUUAAAUGCCAUGCAUGAUGGCUCACACCUGUGAUCCCAGCACUUUAGGAGGCCAAGGCAAGAGGAUUGCUUGAGCUCAGGAGUUUGAAACCAGCCUGGACAACAUGGCAAGACCCCAUCUCUACAAAAAGUAAAAAAUAAAAAAAUUAGCCAAGCGUGGUGGCAUGUGCCUGUGGUCUCAGCUACUUGGGAGGCUGAGGCAGGAAGAUCAAGGCUGCACUGAGCUGUGUUUCUGCCACUGCACUCCACCCU